rnacentral:rRNA from 1 species
UGCAAUGCCCGAAGCCGGUGGCCUAACCACUUAUGUGGAAGGAGCCGUCUAAGGCAGGGCAGAUGACUGGGGUGAAGUCGUAACAAGGUAUC